AAUAAGAAGCAAAUACUUGCAUUUAGUUUCGACCUAAAAAUUUGACGACUCCGUCCUUAUUU
rnacentral:tRNA from 1 species